GGCAAAUAAGAAAUAAUGAGAUCAUUGUCAUGUCAUUUUUAGUGAUUCAAAUUAUUAGUAGUUUUAAACACUAUGUUUUAGUUAUUGUUACAUUUUUCCUAAAACAGAACUUUAUUUUAGUCACUAUAUAUAUACAUAAUGGCGGUAAUAUAAAAAAAUCCACUCUCAUAGCCUGCAAUGUGUUUGAAAGUUGAAUUAUGUAUGUUCUGUUUGAGAAUUAGAGUUUUGAGGAGAUAAACAUGAGGUAUACUUAUAUGCCUACAUAUAUAGAAUUUUACUCUGAAGAAAAAAAAAUACAGAAGUCUAACAAGGAUUUAAAGAUUGUUUUUUACUGUAUGAAGUAUUGUAUAGCAUUUUAAUCUUAAUUUUAUAAUUUUGAAUUUUAAAACAUUUUAUUAUAUUAAAAGUUUUAUUUUUCAGAUGUGAAGAAAUAUAAAACUGCAUUAAUUUGCCAAAAUACUCCAACAUCAAAUUCAAAAGAUGAUGUUAUAAAUUUUCUACAUUUGGUUUCAUUUGAUGCUUUAUUAGAUAAUUAUCUUAAUGAAGAAUUCAAGAAUGAUAAGUUUGAAGAUUUAGAAUUAGAAAUAAAUUCUUCUGAAUUUAGUGAGGAGAUGUUUCUGUAUAAAAAAGAAUUUGGCAACUUUUAAUGGCUUGAAGUGACAAGAAACUUUGACACAAAGUAUGAAGACUUGGAGAAAGCUAUUCAUUUUACAUAAGCUAAAGAUUAAAAUGGAGAUUUUGUAUAAAAAAUAUUUUCUUUAAAUUUAAAAAGAGCAACCAACCAAACAACUUAUUUUACUAUUAAAAAUAUAAGUUAUACCUGAAUAUUUUUCAAUAUGAUAAAUUUUAUACUAAAAUUUAUUUUAUGUAUAGUUACUUCAAUACAUACAAA